rnacentral:tRNA from 1 species
GGGUCGAUCGGCUCGGUCCGGGCCCGGUCCUCUUCGGACCCCAGCACGACGAACCCGUUGUCCCGGAUCAUGUCCAGGUCGGCCUGC